AGCAUGUGGUUUAAUUCGAAGCAACGCGAAGAACCUUACCAGGUCUUGACAUCCCGAUGCUAUUUCUAGAGAUAGAAAGUUACUUCGGUACAUCGGUGACAGGUGGUGCAUGGUUGUCGUCAGCUCGUGUCGUGAGAUGUUGGGUUAAGUCCCGCAACGAGCGCAACCCCCGCCGUUAGUUGCCAGCGGUUCGGCCGGGCACUCUAACGGGGACUGCCCGCGAAAGCGGGAGGAAGGAGGGGACGACGUCUGGUCAGCAUGGCCCUUACGGCCUGGGCGACACACGUGCUACAAUGCCCACUACAAAGCGAUGCCACCCGGCAACGGGGAGCUAAUCGCAAAAAGGUGGGCCCAGUUCGGAUUGGGGUCUGCAACCCGACCCCAUGAAGCCGGAAUCGCUAGUAAUCGCGGAUCAGCCAUGCCGCGGUGAAUACGUUCCCGGGCCUU
rnacentral:rRNA from 1 species